GACAGAGGGUGCAAACGUUGUUCGGAAUUACUGGGCGUAAAGCGCGUGUAGGCGGCUAUGUAAGUCGGACGUGAAAUCCCUCGGCUCAACCGGGGAACUGCGUCUGAUACUGGGUGGCUUGAAUUCGGGAGAGGGGAUGCGGAAUUCCCGGUGUAGCAGUGAAAUGCGUAGAGAUCGGGAGGAACACCAGUGGCGAAGGCGGCUACCUGGACCAGCACUGACACUGAAGCACGAAAGCGUGGGGAGCAAACAGGG
rnacentral:rRNA from 1 species